rnacentral:rRNA from 1 species
UACGUAGGCGGUUUUUUAGGUUCAGGUGUGAAAGCGUGAGGCUUAACCUCAUUAAGCACUUGAAACUGGAAGACUUGAGUGAAGGAGAGGAAAGUGGAAUUCCUAGUGUAGCGGUGAAAUGCGUAGAUAUUAGGAGGAAUACCGGUGGCGAAGGCGACUUUCUGGACUUUUACUGACGCUCAGGUACGAAAGCGUGGGGAGCAAACA